rfam:Heligmosomoides polygyrus genome assembly, scaffold: HPBE_scaffold0003354
CGAAAUCUUGCAAUGCUUCUAGGGCCUUUCCUAAGACCCGAUGAACAAUUUUUGAAUGCCCUUACGGCGUAAGGGCU